GUCCUGCCAAUUUUAUUGUUGUUAUUUCUAUCCUGCCUUUUAAUUUAUCAAUCUUUUGGUGCCUGUUUUUUUUUAAAUUAUCCUGACUUAAUUCUACAUAAUUUGUCAUCCUUUUUUUAUUUUCAUAGUGUUGUUGUUCAAAUUUCACCCCCCCCCCCCUCAAGAAAAAAACCAACAAAAACAACUUCCCACCUAAGUUUCAAAUGGAACCUCCG
rnacentral:lncRNA from 1 species